UACGUAGGGCGCAAGCGUUGUCCGGAAUUAUUGGGCGUAAAGAGCUCGUAGGCGGCUUGUCACGUCGGGUGUGAAAGCCCGGGGCUUAACCCCGGGUCUGCAUCCGAUACGGGCAGGCUAGAGUGUGGUAGGGGAGAUCGGAAUUCCUGGUGUAGCGGUGAAAUGCGCAGAUAUCAGGAGGAACACCGGUGGCGAAGGCGGGUCUCUGGGCCGAUACUGACGCUGAGGAGCGAAAGCGUGGGGAGCGAACAGG
rnacentral:rRNA from 1 species